rnacentral:lncRNA from 1 species
UCCUCUCUCCUCCUUCCCCAUCCUUUCCCUCGCCCACCACCUUUCCUCCCUCUCCGAUAUUGCCGGCGCGCGCCCUCUUCACCUCCCUCCGGCACCACUCCCUCCGCCCAUCCUCGCUCUCCUUCAUCGCCCUUCUCCUCUUCUCCUUCCUCAGCCGCCACCCCAGGGAGCCUGCCAAGAUCCUUUUGGUUUUGGAAAUUUUUGUUCGCGGUGACGUGAAUGGUGUGUUUUUGAUUCAUACAUUUGGUAUGCUCUCGGAUUUGGUGUUGAUUCCGAUUUAAUUUGAUCUAAUUUUGAUUAAUUUUAAGAAAAGAAAAGGCAUUUUUUUAGAAGGGUCUUUUAGGAUUUUCUUUGAUUUUACGUAAUUGCAGGAUUAGUGCGAUGGGAA